rnacentral:misc_RNA from 1 species
AGAAUAUGAAGUUGAAAAUCUUGCUUUUCUUCAUCUGUUGUUGCAUUGGUUUUCACUCUUUCGGUUCUGCUUCUUUGAAUGAGGAAGUAUCAGCUCUGCUAUCGAUAAAAGCUGGUCUUUUAGAUCCCUUAAAUAGGCUUCAAGAUUGGAAAUUGUCCUACAAUACAUCUCACUGUAACUGGACUGGUGUGUGGUGCAAUUCUCAUGGAGCUGUUGAAAAGCUUGAUCUCUCCCACAUGAAUCUCAGUGGCCGUGUAUCAGAUGAUAUUGAAAAGCUACAGGGCCUUACUUCUCUCAACUUGUGCUGCAAUGGGUUCUCUUCAUUUUUGACAAAAGCUAUUUCCAAUCUCACUUCGCUGAUAAGCAUUGAUGUGAGCCAGAACUUAUUUGUUGGUAGCUUUCCGAUUGGGCUUGGAAGAGCAGCUGGUCUUAGUUUGCUAAAUGCUUCGAGCAACAACUUCUCAGGAUUUAUUCCUGAGGAUAUUGGCAAUGCAACUUUGCUGGAGACACUUGAUCUCAGAGGGAGUUUCUUUGAAGGCUCCAUUCCAAAAUCUUUCAAGAAUUUGCAGAAGUUAAAGUUUCUUGGACUUUCUGGGAACAAUCUCACCGGCGAAAUACCAGCAGAGCUGGGUCAGCUUUCAUCACUUGAGAGAAUAAUAAUUGGAUACAAUGCUUUUGAAGGUGGGAUUCCAGCAGAGUUUGGAAAUCUCACCAAUCUGAAGUAUCUUGAUUUGGCUGUUGGCAAUCUAGGCGAUGAGAUUCCAGCUGGAUUGGGGAGGCUUAAGGAACUUGAGACGGUGUUCUUGUAUCAGAACAAUUUGCAAGGCAAGAUUCCUGAUGCAAUUGGCAACAUGACUUCUCUGCAACUUCUGGAUCUCUCUGAUAACAUGUUAUCAGGAGAAAUUCCAGCUGCGAUUGCUGAGUUGAAAAAUUUAAAGCUCUUGAAUCUGAUGUGCAACCAGCUGUCAGGAGCUGUUCCUGCUGGACUUGGAGGGUUGAAUCAAUUACAGAUUCUUGAGCUGUGGAACAAUUCGUUAGCAGGUCCCUUGCCUAUUGAUCUGGGCAAAAACUCGGCAUUACAGUGGUUGGAUGUAUCAUCAAAUUCAUUCUCUGGUGAGAUUCCAGCAGGCCUGUGUAGUGGUGGCAAUCUCACCAAGCUCAUUCUCUUCAACAAUGCCUUCUCAGGUCCAUUUCCUCUUCGCUUAUCCACAUGUCUCUCACUUGUUCGUGUUCGUAUGCAGAACAAUUUUCUUUCUGGGACAAUUCCAGUAGGACUUGGCAAACUUGAGAAGCUUCAAAGAUUAGAGUUGGCAAAUAAUAGCCUUGGUGGUCAAAUCCCUAGUGACCUUGCUUCUUCUUCUUCACUUUCUUUCAUUGAUGUCUCUAGAAACCACCUUACAUCUUCUCUUCCUUCCACAAUUCUAGCAAUUCCAAAUCUACAAAACUUUAUGGCCUCAAAUAACAACUUAGAUGGUGAAAUCCCAGAUCAGUUCCAGGACUGUCCUUCACUUUCUGUGCUUGAUCUCUCGUCCAACCAUUUUUCUGGAACCAUUCCAGCCAGCAUUGCUUCAUGUCAGAAAAUGGUAAAUUUGAAUCUAAAGAACAAUCAGUUGACUGGAGAAAUCCCAAAAGCAAUUGCAGUGAUGCCCACAUUGGCAAUUCUUGAUCUGUCAAAUAACUCUUUAACUGGCGGAAUACCUGAAAAUUUUGGCACCUCACCUGCCUUAGAAGUGCUAAAUGUUUCAUACAACACCCUAGAAGGUCCAGUUCCUGCAAAUGGUGUUUUAAAAACAAUCAAUCCAGAUAAUCUUAUAGGCAAUGCAGGUCUCUGUGGCGGUGUCCUGACUCCAUGCAUCCACAAUUUACUUACUGAAUCACAGCAGAAGAGCUUGCACACAAAGCGCAUUGUUUCUGGAUGGAUAAUUGGAAUUUCAUCAGUUUUAGCUGUUAUAAUUGCGCUUAUUGGUGCAAGAUCUCUCUACAAAAGACGGUAUUUGAAUGGAAGUUGCUUCCAAGAAAGUUUCAAAAGGGAAAAUGGACAGUGGCCUUGGAAAUUGAUGGCAUUCCAGAGGCUUGGUUUCACGAGUGCAGACAUUCUAGGGUGUGUCAAGGAAUCCAAUGUGAUUGGAAUGGGAGCAACUGGGACUGUUUACAAGGCUGAGAUGCCUCGGUUAAACACAGUUGUUGCAGUUAAGAAGUUAUGGAGAUCAGGAACGGACAUUCAAACAGGAAGCAGUGAUGAUUUUGUUGGAGAGGUCAAUCUCCUGGGGAAACUAAGGCAUCGAAAUAUUGUUCGGCUAUUAGGCUUUCUUCAUAAUGAUACUGACAUCAUGAUAGUAUACGAGUACAUGCCCAAUGGCAAUCUUGGAGAAGCCUUGCAUGGUAAACAAGCAGAGAGAAUGCUGGUGGAUUGGGUUUCUAGAUAUAAUAUAGCAGUUGGGGUUGCACAGGGACUUGCUUAUCUGCAUCAUGAUUGUCACCCCCCAAUCAUUCAUCGUGACAUUAAGUCGAAUAACAUACUGCUUGAUGCAAAUCUUGAGGCAAGAAUUGCUGAUUUUGGAUUGGCAAGAAUGAUGAUUCGGAAGAAUGAGACAGUUUCCAUGGUGGCCGGAUCCUAUGGAUACAUCGCUCCAGAAUAUGGAUACACCUUGAAGGUAGAUCAAAAGAUUGACAUUUACAGCUAUGGAGUAGUUCUGCUAGAACUUCUCACUGGAAAUCGACCAUUAGAUCCUGAAUUUGGAGAAUCUGUCGACAUUGUUGAAUGGAUUCGUAAAAAGAUUAUGGAUAACAGACCUUUAGAAGAAGCACUAGACAAAAACGUAGGCAAUUGCAAUCAUGUUCGAGAAGAGAUGCUGUUAGUUCUUAGGAUAGCACUUCUCUGUACUGCUAAGCUCCCCAAGGAAAGACCAUCCAUGAGGGAUGUGAUCACAAUGCUCGGCGAGGCAAAGCCAAGGAGAAAAAGUAGUGGUAACAGCAGUGAAUACAACAGGAACAAAGACAAGCCUGUCCUUAGCACAUCACCUGUAAAUGGCCUUGUAUAGGGGCAUAAAAUUAAAUAGUUCCCUGAGCCAUUAUUGUUAUUAUUUUUUUUAAUUUCUCUUUUGUAUGUAGUAUUGGUUUAUGUUUGUAUUCAGUUGUUCCAAGUGUUGCCCAGAAAAUUAGCGGGUACAUGCAAUUUGAUUCUCCAAGCAAAUAAAAUGCUCUUUCUUGUUUGGUAAGUUGAGACUCGGACAAAACAGGAUCUACAAAGUUGAACGUGAGACGACGCACCGACAAAGGAUUCUGCAAGUCCAAAAUAAUGAGCUUAUUUUAAGAAUGCUUCAGCGCGUGUGAUUAAGCAAAGAUCAAAUUUUGCAGGAUUCAACUGGAAAAUGAAGUAGAAACGUUUCAAGAACAUGAAUAUCCUUUCCAUUCACAAAGAUGAGAAAGCAAUUCAGCACACUGGAAUUUACAGGAUUAGCAAAUAGCAUUCACUGAACUAUGCAAGUAUUGAGCAUACUACACGGAAAAGUGAAAGUGGUUGUGUUGGGAAAAAAAAAGCGAGGCUAGCAUUUUCUGAGGUAGAACAAGAAUGAACAAAUUUAUCAUGAUAGGAAAAUACAGCAACCAAAAAGCCAACUCAAUGCAGCAGAAAACCAGUCAGUACUAUUUUAAAAUGCUUUCAUUAUUAUCACUUUCUCCUUUGUAUAUCACUCUUCAAGCCAUUGAUUUUCUUCAUCUAACUCAAGUUUAAGGGAAAAGCCUAGAUAAGCUUGCUUCUUUGUCUCCCAUUCCUUUCUUGCAACCUUGGAGCAAGUCCAGUUGCUUCAGAUCUUCUCAUGAUUCUGAGCCUCUUCACAGAGCUAAGGAAC